UUCUUGGUCAUUUAGAGGAAGUAAAAGUCGUAACAAGGUUUCCGUAGGUGAACCUGCGGAAGGAUCAUUACAGUAUGAUUAGGGGGGGCUUUGCUGGCCUUGAAAGGGGCACGUGCAUGCCUCCCCGUUUCUAUUACCACACACCUGUGCACCUAUGGCGAGCGCCUUCCGUUUGGAGCCGUCCUUAAUCGGGCCGAGGCGCUCCCUACUCAUCUUGCACCCCUGCCUGUCAUAACGCAUGUAAUUGAGCUCUACGGAGCGAUCGAUCUAUAACAACUUUCAACGACGGAUCUCUUGGCUUUCGCAUCGAUGAAGGACGCCGCGAAAGUGCGAAACGUAAUGUGAAUUGCAGAAUUCAGUGAAUCAUCGAAUCUUUGAACGCAUCUUGCGCUCCUUGGUAUUCCGAGGAGCAUGCCUGUUUGAGUGUCGUGAACAUCCCUCGACCCUAACCUUUCCCGUUCGGGAGAGGAGAGGGUCGGACUUGGACGCUUGCGAUGGGGGAAACCCCGCCGCUCGUCUCUAAAUGCAUUAGCUUGGCCCCUUACCCUCGAGUCGGUCCGAUGGUGUGAUAAUAGACGCCUCGUUGACUGUAGCGCCAAUCGGUCGGCUUAUCUUGAGGGGCUGCUUCCAACCGUCUUCGGACAGAUCUGCUUUCAUGUCAUCUGACCUCAAAUCAGGUAGGACUACCCGCUGAACUUAAGCAUAUCAAUAGNCGGAAGGAAA
rnacentral:rRNA from 1 species